rnacentral:rRNA from 1 species
GGGAAACCGGGGCUAAUACCGGAUAACAUUUUGAACUGCAUGGUUCGAAAUUGAAAGGCGGCUUCGGCUGUCACUUAUGGAUGGACCCGCGUCGCAUUAGCUAGUUGGUGAGGUAACGGCUCACCAAGGCAACGAUGCGUAGCCGACCUGAGAGGGUGAUCGGCCACACUGGGACUGAGACACGGCCCAGACUCCUACGGGAGGCAGCAGUAGGGAAUCUUCCGCAAUGGACGAAAGUCUGACGGAGCAACGCCGCGUGAGUGAUGAAGGCUUUCGGGUCGUAAAACUCUGUUGUUAGGGAAGAACAAGUGCUAGUUGAAUAAGCUGGCACCUUGACGGUACCUAACCAGAAAGCCACGGCUAACUACGUGCCAGCAGCCGCGGUAAUACGUAGGUGGCAAGCGUUAUCCGGAAUUAUUGGGCGUAAAGCGCGCGCAGGUGGUUUCUUAAGUCUGAUGUGAAAGCCCACGGCUCAACCGUGGAGGGUCAUUGGAAACUGGGAGACUUGAGUGCAGAAGAGGAAAGUGGAAUUCCAUGUGUAGCGGUGAAAUGCGUAGAGAUAUGGAGGAACACCAGUGGCGAAGGCGACUUUCUGGUCUGUA